GUUACAGCAGCCGCGGUAAUACGUAGGGUGCGAGCGUUAAUCGGAAUUACUGGGCGUAAAGCGUGCGCAGGCGGCUUUGUAAGACAGGUGUGAAAUCCCCGGGCUUAACCUGGGAACUGCGCUUGUGACUGCAAGGCUCGAGUGUGGCAGAGGGGGGUGGAAUUCCACGUGUAGCAGUGAAAUGUGUAGAGAUGUGGAGGAACACCGAUGGCGAAGGCAGCCCCCUGGGUCAACACUGACGCUCAUGCACGAAAGCGUGGGUAGCAAACAGGAUUAGAUACCCCGGUAGUCC
rnacentral:rRNA from 1 species